rnacentral:rRNA from 1 species
GGGGUGCACCAGGCGCGAAAACUUUACAAUGUGCGAAAGCACGAUAAGGGAACUCUGAGUGCCUCCUAAGGAGGCUGUUCAGAUGUUUAAAAAGCAUCUGGAGGAAGGGCUGGGCAAGACCGGUGCCAGCCGCCGCGGUAACACCGGCAGCCCAAGUGGUGGUCAUGCUUACUGGGUCUAAAGCGUCCGUAGCCGGCCAGGUAAGUUCCUUGGGAAAUUUGAUCGCUUAACGACCAAGCUACCUGGGAAUACUACCUGGCUUGGGACCGGGAGAGGUCGGAGGUACCUCAAGGGUAGGGGUGAAAUCCGUUAAUCCUUGGGGGACCACCGGUAGCGAAGGCGUCUGACCAGACCGGAUCCAACGGUGAGGGACGAAGGCUAGGGGAGCGAAGCGGAUUAGAUACCCGCGUAGUCCUAGCUGUAAACGAUGCGGGCUAGGUGUUGGCAUUACUGCGAGUGAUGCCAGUGCCGAAGGGAAGCCGUUAAGCCCGCCAUCUGGGGAGUACGGUCGCAAGGCUGAAACUUAAAGGAAUUGGCGGGGGAGCACCACAACGGGUGGAGCUUGCGGUUCAAUUGGAUUCAACGCCGGAAAUCUCACCGGAGGGGACAGCGAGAUGAAGGUCAGGCUAAAG